rnacentral:rRNA from 1 species
UACAGAGGGGGCAAGCGUUAUUCGGAAUUAUUGGGCGUAAAGGGCGCGUAGGCGGCUUGGCAAGUGGAAGGUGAAAUCCCUCGGCUUAACCGAGGAACUGCCCUCCAAACUGCUUGGCUUGAGACCGGGAGAGGUGAGUGGAAUUCCCAGUGUAGCGGUGAAAUGCGUAGAUAUUGGGAGGAACACCAGUGGCGAAGGCGGCUCACUGGACCGGUACUGACGCUGAGGCGCGAAAGCGUGGGGAGCAAAAGGG